AGAGUUUGAUCAUGGCUCAGAUUGAACGCUGGCGGCAGGCCUAACACAUGCAAGUCGAACGGUAACAGGAAGCAGCUUGCUGCUUGCUGACGAGUGGCGGACGGGUGAGUAAUGUCUGGGAAACUGCCUGAUGGAGGGGGAUAACUACUGGAAACGGUGGCUAAUACCGCAUAACGUCGCAAGACCAAAGAGGGGGACCUUCGGGCCUCUUGCCAUCAGAUGUGCCCAGAUGGGAUUAGCUUGUUGGUGAGGUAACGGCUCACCAAGGCGACGAUCCCUAGCUGGUCUGAGAGGAUGACCAGCCACACUGGAACUGAGACACGGUCCAGACUCCUACGGGAGGCAGCAGUGGGGAAUAUUGCACAAUGGGCGCAAGCCUGAUGCAGCCAUGCCGCGUGUAUGAAGAAGGCCUUCGGGUUGUAAAGUACUUUCAGCGGGGAGGAAGGUGUUGUGGUUAAUAACCGCAGCAAUUGACGUUACCCGCAGAAGAAGCACCGGCUAACUCCGUGCCAGCAGCCGCGGUAAUACGGAGGGUGCAAGCGUUAAUCGGAAUUACUGGGCGUAAAGCGCACGCAGGCGGUCUGUCAAGUCGGAUGUGAAAUCCCCGGGCUCAACCUGGGAACUGCAUUCGAAACUGGCAGGCUUGAGUCUUGUAGAGGGGGGUAGAAUUCCAGGUGUAGCGGUGAAAUGCGUAGAGAUCUGGAGGAAUACCGGUGGCGAAGGCGGCCCCCUGGACAAAGACUGACGCUCAGGUGCGAAAGCGUGGGGAGCAAACAGGAUUAGAUACCCUGGUAGUCCACGCCGUAAACGAUGUCUACUUGGAGGUUGUGCCCUUGAGGCGUGGCUUCCGGAGCUAACGCGUUAAGUAGACCGCCUGGGGAGUACGGCCGCAAGGUUAAAACUCAAAUGAAUUGACGGGGGCCCGCACAAGCGGUGGAGCAUGUGGUUUAAUUCGAUGCAACGCGAAGAACCUUACCUGGUCUUGACAUCCACAGAAGAAUCCAGAGAUGGAUUUGUGCCUUCGGGAACUGUGAGACAGGUGCUGCAUGGCUGUCGUCAGCUCGUGUUGUGAAAUGUUGGGUUAAGUCCCGCAACGAGCGCAACCCUUAUCCUUUGUUGCCAGCGGUCCGGCCGGGAACUCAAAGGAGACUGCCAGUGAUAAACUGGAGGAAGGUGGGGAUGACGUCAAGUCAUCAUGGCCCUUACGACCAGGGCUACACACGUGCUACAAUGGCGCAUACAAAGAGAAGCGACCUCGCGAGAGCAAGCGGACCUCAUAAAGUGCGUCGUAGUCCGGAUUGGAGUCUGCAACUCGACUCCAUGAAGUCGGAAUCGCUAGUAAUCGUGGAUCAGAAUGCCACGGUGAAUACGUUCCCGGGCCUUGUACACACCGCCCGUCACACCAUGGGAGUGGGUUGCAAAAGAAGUAGGUAGCUUAACCUUCGGGAGGGCGCUUACCACUUUGUGAUUCAUGACUGGGGUGAAGUCGUAACAAGGUAACCGUAGGGGAACCUGCGGUUG
rnacentral:rRNA from 1 species